AUUGAACGCUGGCGGCAUGCCUUACACAUGCAAGUCGAACGGUAACAGGUCUUCGGAUGCUGACGAGUGGCGAACGGGUGAGUAAUACAUCGGAACGUGCCUAGUAGUGGGGGAUAACUACUCGAAAGAGUGGCUAAUACCGCAUGAGAUCUACGAAUGAAAGCAGGGGAUCGCAAGACCUUGUGCUACUAGAGCGGCCGAUGGCAGAUUAGGUAGUUGGUGGGAGAAAAGCUUACCAAGCCGACGAUCUGUAGCUGGUCUGAGAGGACGAUCAGCCACACUGGGACUGAGACACGACCAGCCUCCUACGGGAGGCAGCAGUGGGGAAUUUUGGACAAUGGGCGCAAGCCUGAUCCAGCAAUGCCGCGUGCAGGAUGAAGGCCUUCGGGUUGUAAACUGCUUUUGUACGGAACGAAAAGCCCUGGGUUAAUACCCUGGGGUCAUGACGGUACCGUAAGAAUAAGCACCGGCUAACUACGUGCCAGCAGCCGCGGUAAAAC
rnacentral:rRNA from 1 species